UAUUUUUCAUCUCAGAACACAGGGGUAUUGGGGUAUAUGGUCUGUGGAACACGGCCUGUACACAGCUAACACUCUCAUCAGUUUAAUAUUUUCUCAAAGGCAAAAGCACAAAAGAAAGUGUACAGAACAAGGCGUGAUAAAACUGUUUUAAGCUUUAUUCUGUGGGUGGUAUUUAGAAGACAUUUUCUUUGUGAAAAUAUAUAGGUGAGGGAAUGCAGAUCUUUUUGCGCACAAUAUUUAAUUCAUAUAUCCCCUUGGAUGUGGAGCCAUUCGAGACUAUUAGAGAGGUCAAAGCAAAAAUCGAGGUGAAAACUGAAGGUCUUUCUCCCAACUCACAGAAUUUGGAAUUCUCCAACGAACACCUGAGAAAUGAUCGUACUCUAGCUGACUACAAUAUCACUGAAGGAGCGGUGAUUUACUUAUUUGCUCCUCUAGUUGUAGGUUGUAUUAGUGAGUAUCGGAGAAAAGCCCUUCUUAAUCAACCUAGCAGAGAGGACUGAGAUGUCAGCUUUAACAGUCACAGAAGGAAGGAAUUCACCAGAUCAGAAGUGAUUGUCCUUUUUGGUAGAACGUCAAGAGAUGAGUGAUUUCGUGGAAGUUGAACCUUCUAUCAGUUUUUAGUAGGGUGAGGAGUUGAUUCCACAACAGAUUUGCUCCAAAACAGCACUGUUUGAUACUCGUCCUUCACUAUUUCCAGAAUUAACCAAAUUUCCACUUGGUGUUACCUUUUAAGGAUGAAAAUUACUGAUCAGACCUUGUAUCACUGAAAUUUUCAAAUAAAAAUGUGAAUAAAUUCA